rnacentral:rRNA from 1 species
UACGUAGGGUGCGAGCGUUAAUCGGAAUUACUGGGCGUAAAGCGUGCGCAGGCGGUUUGUUAAGCCAGAUGUGAAAGCCCCGGGCUCAACCUGGGAACUGCGUUUGGUACUGGCAAGCUAGAGUACGGCAGAGGGGGGUGGAAUUCCACGUGUAGCAGUGGAAUGCGUAGAGAUGUGGAGGAACACCGAUGGCUAAGGCAGCCCCCUGGGCCGAUACUGACGCUCAGGCACGAAAGCGUGGGGAGCAAACAGG